rnacentral:rRNA from 1 species
AUUCCGGUUGAUCCUGCCAGCGGCCACCGCUAUAGGAAUUCGAUUAAGACAUGCGAGUCGAGAGUCGUAAUGGACUCGGCGGACUGCUCAGUAACACGUGGAUAACGUGCCCUUAAGUGGAGGAUAAUCUCGGGAAACUGAGGAUAAUACUCCAUAGACUACGAAAUCUGGAAUGAUUCAUAGUCGAAAGUUCCGGCGCUUAAGGAUCGGUCUGCGGCCUAUCAGGUUGUAGUGGGUGUAACGUACCUACUAGCCUAUGACGGGUAUGGGCCUUGAGAGAGGGAGCCCAGAGUUGGAUUCUGAGACACGAAUCCAGGCCCUACGGGGCGCAGCAGUCGCGAAAACUUCACAAUGGGGGCAACCCCGAUGAGGGAAUUCCUAGUGCUAGCACAAUUGUGUUAGCUUUUCUCUAGCGUAGAUAACUGGAGGAAUAAGGGCUGGGAAAGACGGGUGCCAGCAGCCGCGGUAAA